rnacentral:rRNA from 1 species
UACGUAGGGCGCAAGCGUUGUCCGGAAUUAUUGGGCGUAAAGAGCUCGUAGGCGGCUUGUCACGUCGGAUGUGAAAGCCCGAGGCUUAGCCUCGGGUCUGCAUUCGAUACGGGCUAGCUAGAGUGUGGUAGGGGAGAUCGGAAUUCCUGGUGUAGCGGUGAAAUGCGCAGAUAUCAGGAGGAACACCGGUGGCGAAGGCGGAUCUCUGGGCCAUUACUGACGCUGAGGAGCGAAAGCGUGGGGAGCGAACAGG